rnacentral:rRNA from 1 species
UUACCAGGUCAAGACAUGGGCGUGAUAGACAGAAUAAUGACUUUUCUCGAUUCCAUGGAUGGUGGUGCAUGGUCGCACUUAGUUGGUGCAGUGAUUUGUCAGGUUUAUUCCGGUAACGAACGAGACCUCGGCCUUGUAAAUAGCUAUGCUGCUUACAGGGACAUUGGCGGCUACGCCAAGGAAGCUCGAGGCAAUUGCAGAUCUGGAAUGCCCUUAGAUGUCCUGGGUCGCACGCGUGCUACAAUGACGCCACGAACGAGCUUGCGUGAUGAAAGUUACGCAUAAUCAGCAGUCGGCGUCUUAAGGGAUAGUCUCUUGUAACUGUGGGACUCCAACUAGGAAUGUCUCGUAAGCACAAGUCAACAUCUUGUGUUGAUUACGUCCCUCUCGUGUCACACCGCCCGUCGCUCCUCCGAUGGAGUUCUCUAAUUGAUGGACGUAAGGAAGUCAAAUAAACUGAGCACUAGAGAAGUGAGUGACGGAGGGACCGUGGUAAGCCU